GCCCACUCUACCCAGCCACACCAUACUGCAGGUUCUCUGUACCUGUCUCCUCUCUCCCUCUGUGCCCUUAUCCCGGCCUAGGACAGUGAACUAGAUGGUUAUUCUCCCCUUCUCUAAGGAUGCUACAGAAGGAAUCAGGAGGUUGGUGGAUCUGGAUAGCCAUCAAGAAAAUUAGAAGAAUCCUCUAGAGAGACCAACUGCAACUGGACGACACUGUGAUUAACGGAACAGAGUGGGAUAGGUUAGUGGGAGACAGGGAUCCAUCCUGAAGAAGGAACUGGAGGUGCUAUUGGAUGUCAUUAUCCAGGCCUGCUGGGACACCAGCUCAGGUGGCAGAAACCUCAUCUGGAGUCUUGUUGAUGUAACACUCAGUGCUCUGACUGCUUCAGCAUGUACCUCUUCGACUGCAACCUGGUCGUGGGUGUUAACCUUACCAGCGUGACUAACAUACUAUGAUGUGCAGUAUUGGUUUCACUCUCACAGCUUCACCGAUCACCUUGACACCAAGGACUGCUGCCAGUAGCAACAGUAGAUGGGCCCCCUUGAGUCAUGGCUGCAGCAAGACCCUGCAGGAGACUGAAACCAAGUUGGCUCGACAUUUACUAGACGUUCUGCACACACGUCACCCUCGCUGGCCAAGAAACAGAUUCAGUGCGUGAACAACGCCCCUCAGACCCCGCGGAGCUGGGUCGCGGCCGGGAGCCUCCUUUUCUGAUGCAGUUCAUAGUACUGGCGUCUCUUCUGCUUAGAACCUGGCCCGUUCAGGGUUGGUUUCUUCCCUUAGAUUCUUUCACAGGUAAAUAAUGACGAUUUACUGAGAACCUGAACUGAUUCUUUGCUCCUCCCGUCAUAUAGAGCUCCAGGCCGUUGCAGUUAAGAAACCAUGCUUGGGUACCAGCGACAAGGGACCAAGAACAGAGCCCUCAGAGCCACAGCGCAUGCUCAUUUUUCCGGCCCAAGAGGGGGCGGGGAGUGGGCAGGGCCGGCAUCGCCCAGGCCAAUCGGAAGCGAGCACCCCCGC